rnacentral:lncRNA from 1 species
UCCAGGUUACUGCAUCACCUUCAGAACCAUUAUUUUUUCACAACUGCGGUCUGUCAAAUCAGGUGCAAACACCGGACUUUAUUUAACCAUUUCCCACAAUUGGGUACUUAAAUUGUUUCCAAUCAUUUGAUAUGACAAAUAAUCAAUCUUUUCUUUCAUUUAGAACUGUCUUCUUUUAGCAGGAUUAUUUCCUUGGAGCAGACUCCCAGAAACAGAAAUACCAGGUCAGAAGGAACUGCCAGACUGAGAGAGUGGCUUUCAAGGGCAGAGCCAUCUCCUCUAAGGACUGGCUCCAGGACCCUGACUGUGGGGAGUUUUUACUGUGGGAGGCAACAACAAGGACAACAGCAACGGCAGCAAUCAUUUCAACUCCUAGAUGAAUACGCGCUGACAAAGAACCC